rnacentral:ribozyme from 1 species
GGAAAGUUGGAAACAAGAAAAAAGGAUCCCCAUGUUCCCAACCUCCUCCUAUAUUCUCUUUUUCGAUUUUCGAAGUUGAAAAAACG